CGUACAGGUCUCCGUAGGUGAACCUGCGGAGGGAUCAUUACACAAAUAUGAGGGCGGGCUGGAACCUCUCGGGGUUACAGCCUUGCUGAAUUAUUCACCCUUGUCUUUUGCGUACUUCUUGUUUCCUUGGUGGGUUCGCCCACCACUAGGACAAACAUAAACCUUUUGUAAUUGCAAUCAGCGUCAGUAACAAAUUAAUAAUUACAACUUUCAACAACGGAUCUCUUGGUUCUGGCAUCGAUGAAGAACGCAGCGAAAUGCGAUAAGUAGUGUGAAUUGCAGAAUUCAGUGAAUCAUCGAAUCUUUGAACGCACAUUGCGCCCUUUGGUAUUCCAAAGGGCAUGCCUGUUCGAGCGUCAUUUGUACCCUCAAGCUUUGCUUGGUGUUGGGCGUCUUGUCUCUAGCUUUGCUGGAGACUCGCCUUAAAGUAAUUGGCAGCCGGCCUACUGGUUUCGGAGCGCAGCACAAGUCGCACUCUCUAUCAGCAAAGGUCUAGCAUCCAUUAAGCCUUUUUUUCAACUUUUGACCUCGGAUCAGGUAGGGAUACCCGCUGAACUUA
rnacentral:rRNA from 1 species